UACGUAGGUGGCAAGCGUUGUCCGGAAUUACUGGGCGUAAAGCGUGCGUAGGUGGUUUGUUAAGUCUGUUGUGAAAGCCCCGGGCUCAACCUGGGAAUGGCAAUGGAUACUGGCAAGCUAGAGUGCGGUAGAGGGUAGUGGAAUUCCCGGUGGAGCGGUGAAAUGCGUAGAGAUCGGAAAGAACACCACCGGCGAAAGCACUCUGCUGGGCCGACACUGACACUGAGAGACGAAAGCUAGGGGAGCGAAUGGG
rnacentral:rRNA from 1 species